rnacentral:rRNA from 1 species
AGCGGGAGGCAGAGAGUAUGCUUGCUACUCUGCUGACGAGCGGCGGACGGGUGAGUAAUGCUUGGAAAUAUGCCUUAUGGUGGGGGACAACAGUUGGAAACGACUGCUAAUACCGCAUGAUGUCUACGGACCAAAGUGGGGGACCUUCGGGCCUCACGCCAUAAGAUUAGCCCAAGUGGGAUUAGCUAGUUGGUGAGGUAAUGGCUCACCAAGGCGACGAUCCCUAGCUGGUUUGAGAGGAUGAUCAGCCACACUGGGACUGAGACACGGCCCAGACUCCUACGGGAGGCAGCAGUGGGGAAUAUUGCACAAUGGGCGCAAGCCUGAUGCAGCCAUGCCGCGUGUGUGAAGAAGGCCUUCGGGUUGUAAAGCACUUUCAGUAAGGAGGAAAGGUUAAGUGUUAAUAGCACUUAGCUGUGACGUUACUUACAGAAGAAGCACCGGCUAACUCCGUGCCAGCAGCCGCGGUAAUACGGAGGGUGCGAGCGUUAAUCGGAAUUACUGGGCGUAAAGCGUACGCAGGCGGUUUGUUAAGCGAGAUGUGAAAGCCCCGGGCUCAACCUGGGAACUGCAUUUCGAACUGGCAAACUAGAGUGUGAUAGAGGGUGGUAGAAUUUCAGGUGUAGCGGUGAAAUGCGUAGAGAUCUGAAGGAAUACCGAUGUCGAAGGCAUCCACCUGGGUCAUCACUUACGCUCAUGUUC